AUGGAUCUGAAUUUGAUGCCGGAAGAGGAGGACGAAGCUCAAGAAGAAGAACAAGCUCAGCAGGGUGACGCUAUUGAUCUGAAUUUGAUGCCGGAAGAGGAGGACGAAGCUCAAGAAGAAGAACAAGCUCAACAGGGUGACGAUAUUAAUUUGAACUUGAUGCCAGAAGAUGAGGAUGAAGACAUUGAAUUGAAUUGGUUUCCUGAAGAGGAAGAAGCUCAAGAGGCACAAGAAGAUGCAGAAUUGGAAGAAGCUCAAGAGGCACAAGAAGAUGCAAAAUUGGAAGAAGCUCAAGAGGCACAAGAAGAUGCAAAAUUGGAAGAAGCUCAAGAUGCACAAGAAGAUGCAGAAGUGCAAGAAGCUCAAGAGGCACAAGAAGAUGCAGAAGUGCAAGAAGCUGAUGCACAUGGCAAUCCAAGAGGGAAGGACUUGACAGACAAGGAGAGACAUGGUGUUUACUUUGCUCUGCGAGUAAUCGAGCUUAAAGAUGGACAGGUUCAUGUGUAUGACAAGGUGCUCAUUUCAACUAUGUUGAAUGUUCACCUGCGAACAGUUACAAGUAUAUGGAAUCUAGCCAAACGACAACUUGCAGCAGGCCAAGAAGUUGAUGUUUCAAGCAAGAAGAACAAAAGUGGUAGGAAGAGAAAAGAACUAGAUCUAUCGAGAAAAGCAACAAUCCCCAUAAGCUGUUCAAAAGCUUUAUGA
rnacentral:rRNA from 1 species